CGAAAGCGCCCCGCCAGAAUGACUCAGCACUUUCUCUCGUUGUGGGCGGGCUAGGGCGUGGAAGAUUGAUUGUAAUACCCAGAACAAUGAGUCCCUGUUUCAAGACUUCAGGCUUUUGUUCAAGUAUGAAGACUGUUCCCUCCUAGUUGGCCUAGAGAAAAUGAUUUUCAAGACUCGGCUGAAGCAUGACUUCCUCUGAAACUGUUCCUGACCUCGGCUCAUCCCCAGAAUUCCUCUGAAGCUGUUCUGGCUUUUGCUCAUCCCCAGAAUUUACCAUUCCAUCCUUUCUGUCCACACAAUAUCCUGAUACCGAAAAGCUAUACAAAAUAUCUCUUAAGCUAUUUUACAUGUUUACAGGCCUGCCCCUACUUGCUAGACUUUCUGGAAAGUAAGGUUUGGGUUACUUCCAUCUCUGUGUCCCCAAGACACAACAGAGCACCUAAUAUAAAAUAGGGCCACUCUGCCGUUGACAGAUGGGAAAGAAAGAAAGACCAUGGACAAAAGGCUCUGAGAAAUCAUACCUAUGGAAAAGAAGAGCUUUACCUCUGGGCAAGAAGGCUUCACUGAUUCAUUCCCAGCCUCAACCACACCUUUAACCACAAAGUAGGAUCCCGCCUUUCACGGCACCCUUAGUCAUGUUCCCUUAGCCAGCCCCUCUGUAAGCUGUAAUUCUGCAACUAAAGAUAUUCUCUCCUCCCACCUUCCCCAGAGGUACAUCAGGGCUGACAAAGUAGACCCUAAUCUGAGAACUCUAAGACCAGAGUGGGAGAAGAGUCAGGGCUAUCCCAUAUGGCUGAGCAGUUUGGGCAACUGACCAAAGAGGUUAAUGGAGACCUGCCCAUAACUAGAUCAUCAUGUAUGGUUUGCCAAGCUAGGAUAAAUGACCUUUUCUAAUUCUGAGGUAAUAUAGAAUAAAAAAUUCUGGUUCAUAGCAGCACUCUCAACAAUAGCUAAAACAUGGAAAGAGCCUAAGUGUCCA